GUGGGGCGCAGUGGCCCCUGCCUGUAGUCCCAGCUACUCCGGAGGCUGAGGUGGGAGGAUCGCUUGAGCCCUGGAGUUCUGGGCUGUAGUGCGCUAUGCCAAUCGGGUGUCCGCACUAAGUUCAGCAUCAAUAUGGUGACCUCCCGGGAGCGGGGGACCACCAGGUUGCCUAAGGAGGGGUGAACCGGCCCAGGUCAGAAAUGGAGCAGGUCAAAACUCCCGUGCUGAUCAGUAGUGGGAUCGUGCCUGUGAACAGCCACUGCACUCCAGCCUGGGCAACAUAGCGAGACCCCGUCUCU
rnacentral:SRP_RNA from 1 species